GAUGAACGCUGGCGGCGUGCCUAAUACAUGCAAGUCGAGCGAAUGGAUUAAGAGCUUGCUCUUAUGAAGUUAGCGGCGGACGGGUGAGUAACACGUGGGUAACCUGCCCAUAAGACUGGGAUAACUCCGGGAAACCGGGGCUAAUACCGGAUAACAUUUUUAACCGCAUGGUUCGAAAUGUAAAGGCGGCUUCGGCUGUCAGUGUUGGAUGGACCCGCGUGGCAUUAGCUAGUUGGUGAGGUAACGGCUCACCAAGGCAACGAUGCGUAGCCGACCUGAGAGGGUGAUCGGCCACACUGGGACUGAGACACGGCCCAGACUCCAACGGGAGGCAGCAGUAGGGAAUCUUCCGCAAUGGACGAAAGUCCGACGGAGCAACGCCGCGUGAGUGAUGAAGGCUUUCGGGUCGUAAAACUCUGUUGUUAGGGAAGAACAAGUGCUAGUUGAAUAAGCUGGCACCUUGACGGUACCUAACCAGAAAGCCACGGCUAACUACGUGCCAGCCGCCGCAGUAA
rnacentral:rRNA from 1 species